GAUGAACGCUGGCGGCGUGCCUAAUACAUGCAAGUCGAACGAACAGACGAGGAGUUUGUUCCCUUGACGAUUGCCGCGCGCGUGAGAAACACGUGUGGAACCCCCCCCUAUAAGACUGGUAACACUUCGGGACACCGGCUCAUACCCCGUAUAAGAUAUUGAUCCAUGUGGUUCACUAGUGAGAUACAGUUUUGCUGUUACUUAUAGAUGGUGCCUCGCGUCAUUAGCUAGUUGGUAAGGUAACGGCUUACCAAGGCAACGAUUCGUAGCCGAGCUGAGAGGGGGAUCGCCCACACGGGAACGGAGCCACGGUCAAGACUCCUACGGGAGGAACCAGAAGGGAAUCUUGGGCAAGGGGCGAAAGCCUGACGGAGCAACCCCGCGUGAGUGAUGAAGUUCUUCGGUUCGUAAAACUCGUUUAUUAGGGAAGAACAAAUGUGGAAUUAAAUGUGCACGUCUUGACGGUACCUAAUCAGAAAGCCACGGCUAACUACGUG
rnacentral:rRNA from 1 species